CCGAAAUCGGUAGACGCUACGGACUUAAAAUCCGUCGACUUUAGAAAUCGUGAGGGUUCAAGUCCCUCUAUCCCCA
rnacentral:tRNA from 23 species